AGAAUAUUGGAACUUACGACAAAAUAUUUCCCUGAGUUUUUCUUUUUUAAAAGUGAAUAAUAAUGAUAAUAAGUGAGACUAGCGGUAGAAAUGGAUGCAUUAAAUGGGUUUGAACUGCUAUUAGAAGCCGCUAUGCAUGCUUCGUCAAACCAAAGCGGAAGAUCUCUGAACAUAUCGGAAAGGGAUCGAGUGCCAAGUGUUGUAGCUUGCUUCGAAGAAGUAGCUACCACUAAUGUUUCUGGACAAAACAGGCUUUCCAGAACACAAACGGCCCAUCCGAUGCGUGAUGUUACCAACUUCUGUGGUAGACAUGAAGAUUCUAAUUGGAGUAAUAAUAUCACCUUUAGCAAUGUUAUUGCCUCGACUCCAAUCCACAAUCAAAACGAACAAACGGUAUUAAAUGUUUCCCUUGGCUUGUCAUCGUCAGCUACGAUGUCUUGUGCUCCUUCCGUUAAUGGGAUCGAAAAUAUGUUCAACGAGCCACUGGAUUUACGGACCGAACGAAAGAUCGAACAAAAAAGAACUAAUCUCACGUUCUUCGAGGCCUUAGAUUUACGAACCGAAUGUAAAUUAUCCCAGUCGAAAAGCACUGUUGAUUGCGGGUUAGGUGAAGAUGGAAAUUGUUCCGAAGAUUCAGAGUGGAUUCCAGAAGGAGAUGUUACAUUGUUGAACGAUUUUACUAUUAAUGAAUAUUUUGAGAAAUAUCGUUACAAUUUAUCGGACGCCGAUGGAAGUGAAUAUGACACUGACGAAAAUAUACCUACAACAGUUGUGCGACGAUUCAAACACAAAAAACAAGCAGAGCAUGAAGCACCUGCAGCGCAGUACACUUAUCCAAAAAAAAACAAUUAAUAAGAAAAUUCAAAGACUGCGUAAAGAAAAGGGACUCAGCUACAUGCGGACUAACGGAAUCUUACAGCCCAGUCGGCGCAUCAGGCCUGCUUGCCAUUGCAGAAUGAACUGUAAAGAUAAAUUUUCGAAUGACACUCGCGAAGCGCUCCUUAGAAAUUUUUUGAAACUUAAAACUUCCGGGCAGAACCAAUUCAUUUCAAGUCAUAUCGCAGUUAAGCGGACUGCUCGCUCACAGGUAAUAAAUUCACGCAGGCAGUAUUCGCGAGUUUAUUCACUACCCGCUGUAGAUGGUACAGUAG